rnacentral:rRNA from 1 species
GACGAGGGGUCCUAGCGUUGUUCGGAAUCACUGGGCGUAAAGCGUAUGUAGGCGGGCUUCUAAGUCAGGUGUGAAAUCCCAUGGCUCAACCAUGGAAUUGCAUUUGAAACUGGAAGUCUUGAGUGUGGGAGAGAUUGGUAGAAUACCUGGUGUAGUGGUGAAAUACGUAGAUAUCAGGUGGAAUACCGGUGGCGAAGGCGGCCAAUUGGCCCAACACUGACGCUGAGAUACGAAAGCGUGGGGAUCAAACAGGAUUAGAAACCCCAGUAGUCC